rnacentral:rRNA from 1 species
GUCUUUUUGAUAAUAAUUUAAAGUCUAACCUGCCCAAUGAUAUAUUUAAUGGCCGCGGUAUUUUGACCGUGCAAAGGUAGCAUAAUCAUUAGUUUUUUAAUUGAAAGCUGGAAUGAAUGGUUGAACGAGAAAAUUACUGUCUCAAUUUAAUUUAAUUAGAAUUUUAUUUUUAAGUUAAAAAGCUUAAAUAUUUUUAAAAGACGAGAAGACCCUAUAGAGUUUAAUAUUUUAUAUAAUUUAAAUUUUUAUAAUUAUAUAAAUUUUAUAAAAUAUUUUAUUGGGGUGAUAAAUAAAUUUAUUAAACUUUAUUUUUAUUUUUACAUUAAUUUAUGAUUUAUUGAUCCAUUAUUUAUGAUUAAAAGAUUAAAUUACCUUAGGGAUAACAGCGUAAUUUUUUUAGAGAGUUCAAAUCGAAAAAAAAGAUUGCGACCUCGAUGUUGGAUUAAAGUUAAUUUUUGGUGUAGAAGCUAAAAAAUUAAGUCUGUUCGACUUUUAAAACUUUACAUGAUCUGAGUUCAGACCGGUGUGAGCCAGGUUGGUUUCUAUCUUUAAAUAAAUAUAAUAUUUUAGUACGAAAGGACCAAAUAUUAGUAAAAUUUAUUUUUUUUAUGAAUAU